rnacentral:tRNA from 1 species
UCCAGGGUAGCCUAGUGGACAUGGCAUCUGCCCGGUAAGCGGAACAUUGUGGGUUCGAUUCCCAUCCAUGAAC